rnacentral:rRNA from 1 species
AGCGAACGCUGGCGGCAGGCUUAACACAUGCAAGUCGAGCGGGCAUCCUUGUGGUGUCAGCGGCAGACGGGUGAGUAACGCGUGGGAACGUGCCCUUCGGUUCGGAAUAACUCAGGGAAACUUGAGCUAAUACCGGAUACGUGCGAGAGCAGAAAGGUUUAUCUGCCGAAGGAUCGGCCCGCGUCUGAUUAGAUAGUUGGUGAGGUUAUGGCUCACCAAGGCGACGAUCAGUAGCUGGUCUGAGAGGAUGAUCAGACACACUGGGACUGAGACACGGCCCAGACUCCUACGGGAGGCAGCAGUGGGGAAUAUUGGACAAGGGGGGCAACCCUGAUCCAGCCAUGCCGCGUGAGUGAUGACGGCCUUAGGGUUGUAAAGCUCUUUUCUCCGGGACGAUAAUGACGGUACCGGAGGAAUAAGCCCCGGCUAACUUCGUG